rnacentral:rRNA from 1 species
AUUGAACGCUGGCGGCAGGCUUAACACAUGCAAGUCGAGCGGGGGAAGGUAGCUUGCUACCGGACCUAGCGGCGGACGGGUGAGUAAUGCUUAGGAAUCUGCCUAUUAGUGGGGGACAACAUCUCGAAAGGGAUGCUUAUACUGCAUACGUCCUACGGGAGAAAGCAGGGGAUCUUCGGACCUUGCGCUAAUAGAUGAGCCUAAGUCGGAUUAGCUAGUUGGUGGGGUAAAGGCCUACCAAGGCGACGAUCUGUAGCGGGUCUGAGAGGAUGAUCCGCCACACUGGGACUGAGACACGGCCCAGACUCCUACGGGAGGUAGCAGUGGGGAAUAUUGGACAAUGGGGGGAACCCUGAUCCAGCCAUGCCGCGUGUGUGAAGAAGGCCUUAUGGUUGUAAAGCACUUUAAGCGAGGAGGAGGCUACUCUAGUUAAUACCUAGGGAUAGUGGACGUUACUCGCAGAAUAAGCACCGGCUAACUCUGUGCCAGCAGCCGCGGUAA